rnacentral:rRNA from 1 species
GACGAACGCUGGCGGCGUGCCUAAUACAUGCAAGUCGAACGCAGUGGGGACGGGUGAGUAACAAGUGGGUAACCUCCCAACAGGGGGGAUAACCCUUGGAAACAGGUGCUAAACCGAUACUGAUGGAUGAACCCGCGGUGCAUUAGCUAGUUGGUGAGGUAAAGGCUCACCAAGGCCCCGAUGCAUAGCCGACCUGAGAGGAGGAUCGGCCACACUGGGACUGAGACACGGCCCAGACUCCUACGGGAGGCAGCAGGUGGGAAUCGUCGGCAAUGGACGAAAGUCUGACCGAGCAACGCCGCGUGAGUGAAGAAGGUUUUCGGAUCGUAAAACUCUGUUGUUAGAGAAGCGGUAUCUAACCAGAAAGUCACGGCUAACUACGUGCCAGCAGCCGCGGUAAUAC